CCCUUAGAUGUCCUGGGCCGCACGCGCGCUACACUGACAUGUUCAGCAAGCCUCCUAGUUCGACAGGAUUUGGGAAAUCUUUGAACGCAUGUCGUGAUAGGGAUAGAUCAUUGCAAUUAUUGAUCUUGAACGAGGAAUUCCUAGUAAACGCGAGUCAUCAGCUCGCAUUGAUUACGUCCCUGCCCUUUGUACACACCGCCCGUCGCACCUACCGAUUGAAUGUUUCGGUGAAGAUUCCGGAUAGGACUUUUUUGAUUUAUUUCAAUUUUGUCUUAAAAGCUAUCUAAACCUCAACAUUUAGAGGAAGGUGAAGUCGUAACA
rnacentral:rRNA from 1 species